rnacentral:rRNA from 1 species
UUAUCUCUGUAGAGUCUGCAUAUCAAUAAGCGGAGGAAAAGAAACUAACUAGGAUCCCUCAGUAACGGCGAGUGAAGCGGGAAGAGCUCAAAUUUGAAAUCUUCAAGGUUCUACCUUGACGAAUUGUAGUUUAAAGAAGUGUUUUCUGUUGGAGUUUUGGUAAAAGUUCUUUGGAAUAGGACAUCAUAGAGGGUGAGAAUCCCGUAUUUGACCAUUAUUUCCAGCUUUGUGAUACACUUUCAAAGAGUCGGAUUGUUUGGGAAUGCAGUCCAAAAUGGGUGGUAAAUUUCAUCUAAAGCUAAAUAUUGGCGAGAGACCGAUAGCGAACAAGUACCGUGAGGGAAAGAUGAAAAGAACUUUGAAAAGAGAGUUAAACAGUACGUGAAAUUGUCAACAGGGAAGCGUUUGACACCAGUGUUGUUUUCUCGAAAAUCAAUUAAAAAAGGCAGGAUUUUGUGUUGUAUUGACUUUAUCAGCUUUCUGCACUCUUUUCUUGUCUUUUUUAAUGCACUUUUCGUUUAACAAGUCAACAUCAAUUUCUUUUGUUGUAAAAGGGUCAUUGGAAGGUGGCUUUCUUUUCGGAGAAAGUGUUUAUAGCCUUUGGCCUCUGCAAUCGGAGAGAUUGAGGUCUGCAGCGUAGAUCCUUCGGGGUUAGAUACAUUUGUGCUAAGUUAUAGCCUUUCAUAGACAACUUGUUGACUAUGAUCAGUCAUGUAGCUUACUCGCUUAUGCUAUUUUACCUACGCUUAGGAUGUUGACGAUCAGCUGAGCGCG